AGUUCCAACUUGGAAGUGCAGAAUUUGGAAGCCUUCCACAUUCUCGCUUACCAUGGGGUUAGACUUGGGGCAGCUUCCAGAUUCUGGACAAUUCCACAUUCCAUAUUGUGGACAGUUCCAACUUGGAAGUGCAGAAUUUGGAAGUUGGAAGCAUAGGCAGUAUUUGGAAGUGCAGGAUUUGGAAGCCUUCCACAUUCUCACCUGUUACCUGAGGAGGUCAACUUUUUCACUUCCUGUGUCAACAGGAAGUAGCAGCAACGAGGAUAUAGCAGAACCAAGUGAGGAAGAGCAAGUCUGGCAGCUUCCAAGCACGGUCCAAGCAGUAACAAAUGCAGGCAGUGCGCCUGCUUUUGACGUGACGUGAAGAUGUUCAAACAUACCUCUCGAUACAGCCGCUCAUCCAGACUCAAACGUCUCGCGAGCUUUAAAACCAGCAGCCCAUCGUGCACAGACCAAGACAUCUCUGGAACCAGCAGCACAUACCUCUCAGACCAACAAAGCGAGGGCGAUCGGUGGUGGCCCCCCCCACCGUCCCCAUGCCUACUGACCUCUGGGGUCCCACGCUCUCCUCCUGGAUUCCUCAACCCACCUCCCACGCCACCAGUUAGGCAUAGCUCGAUUCGACCCCCUCCUGGCUUCCUCUACCUCCAACCCAAACCCAGCGCCCCAACCAUUUUGUUGGUUCCCCAAUGGAAGAUGAGCAAUUGUGUGUCUGAACCAUCCAAAGAACCAGAGCCAGAGCCAGAGUCAGGGUGUUGCUUCAAAUUU